rnacentral:pre_miRNA from 1 species
CUCACAAGCCGGUUUUGUAAGGUUGAGUUAGACCUCAAAUUUCAACAUGGUAUCAGAGCCAUUGAACCACAUGCUAUCAGGUUUCCGCUAUCGGGCCACCCCCCAUUUAUGUCUACGAACCAAACCUAAUAGUGCUGAUCGUGAGGGGGUGUGUUAAGAGUCCCACAUCGGAUAGGACAUGGUCUGACAAUAUAUUUAUAAAGUUGAGGCCUAACUCAACCUUACAAAACCGGCUUGUGAG